AUACGCAAAACAUUCGUAUUUCAUUUAAAAUAAUUUAUUUGUAAUGACGAGAAUCAAAAAUGCGUAAACUAUACCAAGUGUAUAUUGUUGCUCGCUGCUCGAAUACAAACUCGCAUCCGGUUAUUUCAUAUAAGAUUGUACAACGUACCGAGGCGUUUGCCAGAAAAAAAUAGGAUCACCCGGACGAUAUUUUGCAGAACCACCGAAUGAGUAUACAAGAGUAAGAGGCGAAACCUCACAAAUGAGACACGAGAAGUUCCUGGCGAACUGAAUAUACAUCCUUCUAUAGAAUUCUUCGUGCCGAGAUGUAUGAAAUCACGACAACUGUGAGAUACGGUGUUACACGGGGGGGAAAUAUCAAAUGCCCCGCUACUUAAUCUCGGGCAGUGACGCUGUGUGACAAAAGCGUGUACGAAAUGUUUAGCUGAUCAAGCAUAAAAGGGAGACACAUCAAAUAUUUAUUUUUCACUAUAUGCAUCUGAGACUUGACUUUGGAUUACAACCGCGCUUAGGCUCCAUCGCGAAAAUACGCACAUGAACUUCCGAGCUCAGCUUACGCGCGUCGAGUAUCGCGGAAAGGAUUUGGAAGCUGUUUAAAGGGAAUGUUGUGAUGAUAAAAGUGAA